AUGCAAAGGAGAGAGAAAAGCCCUGGUUUAAAGAUCCUCUGGAUUUGGACAUUCGGAACUGCAGCUAUACUCAUUGCGAAUGUGAUGCGAACCGGAAUACGCGACUUUCAAACUGCCAUGAAAGCGGAAGAACAAGAACAACAACAGCAGCAACAAAAUGAUUUUGCAAUGGGUGCGGAUUCUCGUGUUUCGGAGGAGAGGAUAAUUGAAGACUAG